GGACAGAGCCCGUGAAUCCGGGCGCGCGGAAUUCAGGACCGACGGGGCGGACGUUUUCGGACGUUCGCCGCGUCGAUUCGAUAUUUCCGUCGCCGACCCUCUUUACCGAGGGUGUCGGACGUCGCGACCCGUUCGCCGAGUCGAUGCUUAGGGACGCGUAUUCGGUUCGCCAGCGCGGCCGUUUCGGCGGUCGCGCGACGAUCACGCGUUUCCGUUGUUUUCGACGCGGACGGUAGCUUUGCGCGCGGGUACUCGACGCGGCCCGUUCGUUCGGCGUCUCGUGCGCCGGACGGCGCUCGCGUCGACGCCGGUCAGCGACGA
rnacentral:rRNA from 1 species